rnacentral:miRNA from 1 species
GGUGUCUUGUUAAAGUGCUGAUUCUAAUCAGUAGGUCUGGGAUGGGGCCCGAGAUUCUGCAUUUCUAACAAGCUC